rnacentral:rRNA from 1 species
GACGAACGCUGGCGGCGUGCCUAAUACAUGCAAGUUGAGCGAUGAAGAUUGGUGCUUGCACCAAUUUGAAGAGCAGCGAACGGGUGAGUAACGCGUGGGGAAUCUGCCUUUGAGCGGGGGACAACAUUUGGAAACGAAUGCUAAUACCGCAUAACAACUUUAAACAUAAGUUUUAAGUUUGAAAGAUGCAAUUGCAUCACUCAAAGAUGAUCCCGCGUUGUAUUAGCUAGUUGGUGAGGUAAAGGCUCACCAAGGCGAGGAUACAUAGCCGACCUGAGAGGGUGGUCGGCCACAUUGGGAAUGAGACACGGCCCAAACCGCUACGGGAGGCAGCCGUAAGGAAUCUUCGGGAAUGGACGAAAGUCUGACCGGGCAACGCCGCGUGAGUGAAGAAGGUUUUCGGAUCGUAAAACUCUGUUGGUAGAGAAGAACGUUGGUGAGAGUGGAAAGCUCAUCAAGUGACGGUAACUACCCAGAAAGGGACGGCUAACUACGUG